rnacentral:rRNA from 1 species
AUGGCUCUGGAUUUGUUGAAUUUGCUAAGCAAGAGGCACGCAGUUCUGUUUUGUGGUCUGCUCCAGAAAGUUUCUGCGACUUUUGAGUCGUACUGUGGACCUUAUGGAAUCUGCAAAAGGUCAGGCCUCUGCAUAUGCCCUGCCGGUUUUGAUCCAUUAAGCACAACAUCAAGGAGUUCUCUUGGCUGUUCGAGGGAGGUUCCUAUGAAUUGUGAAGGAGACAAUUCAACUCAUCGAAAAGGGGUGUUUAACCCAAUAGAUGGCGUCUACAAGUUACCCAAGAAUUCUUGGCCCUCUAUUGCCAGAAAUCUGAAAGAGUGUGAACCUCCUGCUUAA